GCUCCGAUUCGGAGCAGGCGAGACGGAGAUUGAGCGGAUUUGAAGUGGGGUUUGAGAGAGGAUGUGGGAGAAGAAGAGUAGAGCAGUCUCUCCAUUGUUUUCUGCUGCAAAGUGAGUUUCUUUUUUUCGUCUCUGUGGAGAAGAUGAAGAAAAUGGAAACUAAGUUUGGGGAGUUGGGUAGGUGAAGGAUUAGGUGAUAAAAAGAGAAGGGUCAAAAUGAAACUUUUUAAAAAUAAUGGGUAAUCAUGAGAAUAAAUCCUACUCAGGUCGUUUUAAAAUUUAAAUUUCGU
rnacentral:lncRNA from 1 species